CAGCUCAUUUACAUAUUUCUCCUGCACAGCGCCCUCGCUUGACCCUUAAGGUAAAGCUCUCACUUAGCCAAUUGUCUUGAGUGAGUCAUUCCACCACUAGCUCUGUCACUGUUAACACCACACAGCUAGUGUCCUGCUUCCUUCUACACAUGUUCUUAGUUAAUGCCUCAAGAUUUUGUGGAUGACUCGACUGGGGGUUUGUUUUGUUUGUGUAAGAUGCAGUUCACCAUUAAAUGAACCAGUCACAGUAAAUGUACACCAUCCUUGUCGUGUCACAUUUUCCAGUGUCACAUUUGGCGUCGUAGACAGGAUGGUGUACUAAUACUGCAUCUACCCCCAGUCGAGGAUGAGGCGAAACUAACGGCAGACAACUGACCCCGAGACGAGCUGCUACAUUUAUCAAGAAUGGAGGGAAUGGAGCAACUGCGGGCCGAGCUUGAGGCGAUGAAGGUAGCUCUUCAGGCGGAGAAGGAGCAGAGAGUGCACCUGCUGCUUUUCACAAAGCGGGGGAGCACCAGCCCGAGGACCAAGCCCCUCAAUCUUCAGAUGUGCAAGAUCCGGAGAGAGCACCCGCUGCUUUACACAAAACAGGGGAGCACCACCCUGACAAUGUAGCCCCGCAACCCCCAUCAGAAGUGGAAGAUUCUUCACCGGAACCCACUACAGAGGAGGAGGUCCCACUUGCCAAAGCGGAGCAGUUGCGCCACACCAGCCGUGCUGGAGCGGGACAGCACUCCAAUCCCCAUCACCUCCCGAAGUCUGUCAUCCAGUCGGAGACUCCAGCAAUGCCUGUCCCUGCACCUGCGAUAGACCCACGUGUACUAGCAGACAUCAGCCGAACGCAGCUGCUGUUGGCACAGAUGUUGGCCGGAGUCCAGCCAAGAUGAUUUUUUUUUUGUAAAUAGUUAAUUGUACUUUCUUUUUUUGUAUUAAUCUUUUAUCUGUUUAGGUUGUCGGGACGCCAACCUUAGAGCAGGGGAGUAUGUGACAGCUCAUUUACAUAUUUCUCCUGCACAGCGCCCUCGCUUGACCCUUAAGGUAAAGCUCUCACUUAGCCAAUUGUCUUGAGUGAGUCAUUCCACCACUAGCUCUGUCACUGUUAACACCACACAGCUAGUGUCCUGCUUCCUUCUACACAUGUUCUUAGUUAAUGCCUCAAGAUUUUGUGGAUGACUCGACUGGGGGUUUGUUUUGUUUGUGUAAGAUGCAGUUCACCAUUAAAUGAACCAGUCACAGUAAAUGUA